rnacentral:lncRNA from 1 species
AUGUUAGGGAAAUGGGGUCCUUGGGCUCUGGGGGGGGACCUCUGUCCUCCCCACAGGCUGCCUGUCUGCGGCCUCCCACCUGCACUCAGUGUCCUAUUUAUAGGGAGCCGCGGGCUGCCCCCACUCUCCCCAGACAGUCUCCAGUGGGGACAUUCCUGGGGCUUCUCAGAUGCCUCGCCACCCUCUCCCGCUCAGGGAUGCACGAGGAGGGAUUCCAAGCCCAGCACAACCUGGCUGUCCAGACCCUUGCCCUCAGUCCAUAAAAAUAGCCUGCUCUGGCUAUUCUGGGUUAUGGAAAACCACAGAGAGACAGACUGUUCUCAGGGAGACCAAGAGGGGAGCCCAGAGCCGCGACACCCGAGGGUGGACAGAGGCCCACAGGCAGAMCCCACUGCAGGGGGAUCCCCUGCAGAUAGGAGAGUCUACAAACUUCAAAUUAGCAGCCUGUGYGCAGGAGCAGCGGGAGUGAGGGCAGGCGAGUCCCGGGGCUGCCUCCUGUCCACCAUCUGGGCUGCUGGCCUGUCUGGCCCGAAGUGUUGAAAGCUAAUUUGAGAAGAAAGAAGGCGGUACAGCCCUGCGGUGGCCCAGCUGCAUCCACGCUGCCUGUCCCUUCCCACAGUGUGAGCUCCGCCCACUGCACCACCUGUCCUUCCCAGUGUGAGCUCCUCCCACMGCUGCCCAUCAAGUGGCCUCAAGUGCCAGGAGGAGCAAGGACCUUGCCAAGGUGCACGGGCAGUGGUGGUGGCCACUGCCUGCAGACACGCAGAGCUCUCCGCAGGGCUCCCUGCAGGGCUGACCAGGGCGCGCAGUGGCCGUAGUUCCGCAUCCUAGGCUCCACCGUCUUGCUCCGACCAGCCAGCCUCGGCCCCCCAACUUGAUAAAUGGGGCCAGUGACAAUCUCACAGCCGGUUGUGUGGGCCCAGGGUGAUGCGGGGAGGGUCCACACUGGGAGCUGAGCUGCCCCGUGGGGUGCGUAUCUUCCCUGUGUCCCCGCAGCCCAUUUCUUGGUCAUUUUAAUCCCAUUUGUACCCCGGGGCUCUGCAGUCCUGUGCCCACUCCUUCUGUCCCCCUCCUCAGGUGAGCCUCUUGGGAGCAGCGUGAGUGCCACAGGCCUGGCCUCAAGGUCCAGCGGCCAGCAUGGUCAGUGCCAGGCUGUCUGAGGACCACGCCACUGAGGGUGUGGUCUCUGUGAAACCCCCACAGCUGUCCCCAGGGUCCCGGUGCCUGGCUCCACUGCCCUUCUGGACAAGGAGCCUGUGUGUGCAGAGGUGUGGCCCAGCCCCUGUGGCCGAGGGCUGCCCUUCCAAGAUCAGAGAGGCCCAGUGCCCUGGGUGUGAAGGGACGGGCGAGGCUGGCUUCCUUCUUAUCCCACCCACCCCAUG